rnacentral:rRNA from 1 species
GUCCACGCCCUAAACGAUGUCUACUAGUUGUUGGUGGAGUAAAAUCCAUGAGUAACGCAGCUAACGCGUGAAGUAGACCGCCUGGGGAGUACGGUCGCAAGAUUAAAACUCAAAUGAAUUGACGGGGGCCCGCACAAGCGGUGGAUUAUGUGGAUUAAUUCGAUGCAACGCGAAAACCUUACCUGGCCUUGACAUGUACCGAAUUUGGGAGAGAUUCCUUAGUGCUCGAAAGAGAACGGUAACACAGGUGCUGCAUGGCUGUCGU